rnacentral:rRNA from 1 species
UACGGGGGGGGCAAGCGUUGUUCGGAAUUACUGGGCGUAAAGGGCUCGUAGGCGGCCAACUAAGUCAGACGUGAAAUCCCUCGGCUUAACCGGGGAACUGCGUCUGAUACUGGAUGGCUUGAGUUUGGGAGAGGGAUGCGGAAUUCCAGGUGUAGCGGUGAAAUGCGUAGAUAUCAGGAAGAACACCGGUGGCGAAAGCGCUCUGCUAGGCCGCAACUGACACUGAGGGACGAAAGCUAGGGGAGCGAAUGGG